AUUGAACGCUGGCGGCAGGCCUAACACAUGCAAGUCGAGCGGAUGAAGGGAGCUUGCUCCUGGAUUCAGCGGCGGACGGGUGAGUAAUGCCUAGGAAUCUGCCUGGUAGUGGGGGAUAACGUCCGGAAACGGGCGCUAAUACCGCAUACGUCCUGAGGGAGAAAGUGGGGGAUCUUCGGACCUCACGCUAUCAGAUGAGCCUAGGUCGGAUUAGCUAGUUGGUGGGGUAAAGGCCUACCAAGGCGACGAUCCGUAACUGGUCUGAGAGGAUGAUCAGUCACACUGGAACUGAGACACGGUCCAGAUUCCUACGGGAGGCAGCAGCGGGGAAUAUUGGACAAAGGGCGAAAGCCUGAUCCAGCCAUGCCGCGUGUGUGAAGAAGGUCUUCGGAUUGUAAAGCACUUUAAGUUGGGAGGAAGGGCAGUAAGUUAAUACCUUGCUGUUUUGACGUUACCAACAGAAUAAGCACCGGCUAACUUCGUG
rnacentral:rRNA from 1 species